rnacentral:misc_RNA from 1 species
GAGCAUUGACGGCUAAGAAGAGUAGAGGAAUGAAAUAUCUCCUGUUUCUCGCUAUCUGGCUUGGCAAUAAAUACUACCAAUAAGUUACUAUCAGGGAGUCCCUAUUCCACAAAGCUCCCCAGCUACUACAUAGAAAUAAAAAAUCUCAUGUGCUUCCCAAAGAUGUUGAUGCUAAUAUCUAUCUUUAAAAAGAAUCCAUCUCAACCUGAGAUAUCCAGGUUCAACUCUUCCCUCUCCCUACAUAUGUAAUAAAAAAAAUAAAAACAAUAAAAAUAAGAACCCAUCUCAGGUGUGUCUACAACUUCUUGACCAGGAGAUUGACUCCGUGUUCUGGCUCAAUGACCAGCCUAAGAGCAGGGGAGUGGAUAUAUUUGGGAGAGAUGGAGAAAGAGAAGUUGGACAAAAGGAGAGCUAUCAAUAUCUUGAGUUCAACCAUGGCCAAGUUCUGUCCAAGACACACCCGAGGUCCAACACCGAAUGGCAUGUACAAGAAUGGAUACUUGCAAGCACCUGCUAUUCCAUUUGCAAAUCUCUCAGGCUUGAACUUGUAAGAAUCUGAUCCCCAUAUUUCUGGGUCUGUAUGCAAUUGCAACACCAUGGUCCAAAUAUUCACGCCCUUGGGAACAUUAAUGUUACCAAAUUUCAUGUCCUUGAAGGCCUCCCUUGACACCACUGUCACUGGUGAAUAAAGUCGCAGUGUUUCAUGAAUCACCAUGUUAAGCAGUUUCAUCUUCGGAAUCAUAUCGGAAUCUGGCAUGCCACCUCCACAAAUUUCAAGAACCUCUGCGCGGACACGAUCCUGCCAUUCUUGAUUUACUGCCAACAACAUGAGGCACCAUGUGGCUGAAACUGCAGUAGUCUCAAACCCAGCCAAGUAUAUGUUCUUGCAAUUAUCAACUAUGAAUCGGUCCAUUGCUUCUCGACUCAGAUUGCUAUUUUUGGCUCCUUCAAGAAUCAUCUGCAAUAAAUCCUUCUCAUAUGCAGCUUCUUGUCUCUCCUUCACUACCUCCAGUAUCAAAUUGCGGAUUUCUUUCUCUAACGCCCAUGAUUCUCUAUUGCUUUUUGUAGGAAAAUAUCUCAUUCCAGGAAUUCCAAUGGCUAGACCUUUCUUUGACAUAGUUUUCUGGAGAUCUCUUAGUUUCAGGAAAAUCUUUUCUCCUCUAGAAUAAUUGCUUCCAAAACAGGCUCUGGAGAUAACAUCUGCAGAGAAACUUCUGAGGCCCUCAUCAAUUUUGAUGUCUGCCAUUCCACUAUUUGUCUCAAUUAUACUCUUCCAUGAAUUUAUCAAUGUAAUGGUAGACUCAGUUAUCAGGUUGACCAUUCCCUUGAUCUUUUCCAUGUACAAUUCAGGAGCAAGGAUCUUCCUCUGAUGUGACCACAAAGCCCCAUUUGAUGUCAGAAUCCCCUGACCAAGCAAAGGGCCAAGAUUUUUCUGUUGAUACGAAGGUUUUCCUAAGUCCAAGGAUACACAUGUUGUAAUCUCUUUCACCAUGUCAGGUUGAUUCAAAUUAAGUAUUUGUGUGUUCCCCAGGGAAAAUACAAACAAUUGACCAUAUUCCUUCCUCCACAUCUCAAAAAAAGGAAAAAGAAGAGCAGCAUAGUUAUGGAGGAGAGGUGGGUCAUUGGCAGGAUCAGUCUUCACAACCGAGGACUGAGCCUUCUUGAUCUCUCUUAUAUUUCCAAGAAGAAAAGUUGGCGGUGGUCCAUUGAUGCCCUGCUUCCUCAGCAUGGAGCGAAGCCUCUUUGGUUUCACCACCAACCCAUUGUAAAGACGUACCAGCCCUCCAAGAAACCCGAUAACCACGAGGGAAAACAGUAGCUUAGUAUCAAAUUGAA